CCUGAUCCAGCCAUGCCGCGUGAGUGAUGAAGGCCUUAGGGUCGUAAAGCUCUUUUCGCCUGUGAAGAUAAUGACGGUAGCAGGUAAAGAAACCCCGGCUAACUCCGUGCCAGCAGCCGCGGUAAUACGGAGGGGGUUAGCGUUGUUCGGAAUUACUGGGCGUAAAGCGCACGUAGGCGGACUGGAAAGUUGGGGGUGAAAUCCCAGGGCUCAACCCUGGAACUGCCUCCAAAACUAUCAGUCUAGAGUUCGAGAGAGGUGAGUGGAAUUCCGAGUGUAGAGGUGAAAUUCGUAGAUAUUCGGAGGAACACCAGUGGCGAAGGCGGCUCACUGGCUCGAUACUGACGCUGAGGUGCGAAAGUGUGGGGAGCAAACAGGAUUAGAUACCCUGGUAGUCCACACCGUAAACGAUGAAUGCCAGUCGUCGGGUAGCAUGCUAUUCGGUGACACACCUAACGGAUUAAGCAU
rnacentral:rRNA from 1 species